rnacentral:rRNA from 1 species
CCUGCCAGUAGUCAUAUGCUUGUCUCAAAGAUUAAGCCAUGCAUGUGUAAGUAUAAGUAUUGUACAGCGAAACUGCGAAUGGCUCAUUACAUCAGUUAUAGUUUAUUUGAUAUUUGAAAGUUACAUGGAUAACCGUGGCAAUUCUACAGCUAAUACAUGCUUCAAAACCUGACUUCGGAAGGGUUGUAUUUAUUAGAUAUUAAACCAUCCCCUCGGGGCUGUGAUGAAUCAUAAUAACUGAUCGAAUCGAGGUUCGCCUUGAUAAAUCAUUCAAGUUUCUGCCCUAUCAGCUGUAGAUGGUAGUGUAUUGGACUACCAUGGCUAUUACGGGUAACGGAGAAUUAGGGUUCGAUUCCGGAGAGGGAGCCUGAGAAACGGCUACCACAUCUACGGAUGGCAGCAGG